rnacentral:rRNA from 1 species
UAGGGAAUCUUCGGCAAUGGGGGGAACCCUGACCGACCAACGCCGCGUGAGUGAAGAAGGUUUUCGGAUCGUAAAGCUCUGCUGUUAAGGAAGAACGAGUGUGAGAAUGGAAAGUUCAUACUGUGACGGUACUUAACCAGAAAGGGACGGCUAACUACGUGCCAGCAGCCGCGGUAAUACGUAGGUCCCGAGCGUUGUCCGGAUUUAUUGGGCGUAAAGCGAGCGCAGGCGGUUAGAUAAGUCUGAAGUUAAAGGCAGUGGCUCAACCAUUGUAGGCUUUGGAAACUGUUUAACUUGAGUGCAGAAGGGGAGAGUGGAAUUCCAUGUGUAGCGGUGAAAUGCGUAGAUAUAUGGAGGAACACCGGUGGCGAAAGCGGCUCUCUGGUCUGUAACUGACGCUGAGGCUCGAAAGCGUGGGGAGCGAACAGGAUUAGAUACCCUGGUAGUCCACGCCGUAAACGAUGAGUGCUUGUUAGGUCCUUUCCGGGACUUAGUGCCGCAGCUAACGCAUUAAGCACUCCGCCUGGGGAGUACGACCGCAAGUUG